rnacentral:tRNA from 1 species
GGAGGGGUGGCAGAGUGGUCUAUCGCGGCGGUCUUGAAAACCGUUGUGCUGUAAGGCACCGUGAGUUCGAAUCUCCCCCCCUCCGCCU